UACAGAGGGGGCAAGCGUUAUUCGGAAUUAUUGGGCGUAAAGGGCGCGUAGGCGGCUUUGCAAGUGGCGGGUGAAAUCCCUCGGCUUAACCGAGGAACUGCCUGCCAGACUGUGAGGCUUGAGACCGGGAGAGGUGAGUGGAAUUCCCAGUGUAGCGGUGAAAUGCGCAGAUAUCAGGAGGAACACCAAUGGCGAAGGCAGCUCACUGGGACGGUAUUGACGCUGAGACGCGAAAGCGUGGGGAGCAAACAGG
rnacentral:rRNA from 1 species